rnacentral:rRNA from 1 species
GACGAACGCUGGCGGCGUGCUUAACACAUGCAAGUCGAACGGAAAGGCCCUGCUUUUGUGGGGUGCUCGAGUGGCGAACGGGUGAGUAACACGUGAGUAACCUGCCCUUGACUUUGGGAUAACUUCAGGAAACUGGGGCUAAUACCGGAUAGGAGCUCCUGCUGCAUGGUGGGGGUUGGAAAGUUUCGGCGGUUGGGGAUGGACUCGCGGCUUAUCAGCUUGUUGGUGGGGUAGUGGCUUACCAAGGCUUUGACGGGUAGCCGGCCUGAGAGGGUGACCGGCCACAUUGGGACUGAGAUACGGCCCAGACUCCUACGGGAGGCAGCAGUGGGGAAUAUUGCACAAUGGGCGGAAGCCUGAUGCAGCAACGCCGCGUGCGGGAUGACGGCCUUCGGGAUGUAAACCGCUUUCGCCUGUGACGAAGCGUGAGUGACGGUAAUGGGGAAAGAAGCACCGGCUAACUACGU